rnacentral:rRNA from 1 species
CGGGGUGAGUAAUGUCUGGGAAACUGCCUGAUGGAGGGGGGUAACUGCUGGAAACGGUAGCUAAUACCGCAUAACGUCGCAAGACCAAAGAGGGGGACCUUCGGGCCUCUUGCCAUCGGAUGUGCCCAGAUGGGAUUAGCUAGUAGGUGGGGUAACGGCUCACCUAGGCGACGAUCCCUAGCUGGUCUGAGAGGAUGGCCAGCCACACUGAAACUGAGACACGGUCCAG